AGUUAGGAAACUGACUGUCGCUCUCUCCGGCCUCGGCGCUGCUUCGGACGCCCCGGCACCGGCCCCCGUUGCUUUGUAGCAUUCUGCAGCUGGGCUGCAGGCGCCGUGGGCCUCCGCCAGUUGUGUUCGAGACGCGGUUCGGCCACAGAAGUUUUAGCUUGUGACUUUUGGCAAGUCAGUGGCCCUCUCUGGGCCUCAGGUGCCUUUUUUGCUGUGAGACCAGCGACUGUAUUUUUAACCCUGAUUUUAUCCCUAGAUCUACCCAACACAUAGUAGGUGCUCAAAAGAUAUUUAUGAGUGAAUGAAUGCAUCAUGAGAAGAAAUUGGACCAGAUGAGGCCCUGUGAAGCUGCUUGGGUCUUUUUUUGUUCUUUUUUUUUUCUCUCUUCUGAGUGUCCCUGGCCUGGACUAGAAAUUCUCCAUCCUUCGGCCUUCUGCGAGACUGCAGGAACAUUACUUUUGAAGGAUGCUAAGGAAUCCGAGGGAUGAAAAAAAUCAAGAGAUUGCAAUGAUGUCACAAAACAAGGAAACAAGCAUCUUCACUCCGAAGCAGAAAUUUGCCAAAAAAGCAUCCUCUUUUUAUCAGAAAAUAAAAUAUCCUGGUUUCUUAGCCUGGCAUUCUUGGAUCCCCACAGUUUGAUCCCAACCGACAACUCCUUAUUUGAAACUUCAGAUUCUCCCAAACCGUCACCUUCCUCGUGGACUUAAUCCUGGAAGGCCCUUCUACC
rnacentral:lncRNA from 1 species